GGGGACCGAAAUGAUGCAGGGCAGUGGGCGCUAGAGUGAAGCGGUGACUGUGGGUGUUGACUGAGUCUCUGCUCUAGUGGGGCUGAUGUGGGAGGCAGGGAUGAGGGCAAGAUUUCACGCACCAAUUGAAUUUUUUGUAGUGAGGGCUCUUGCUUGGCUUAUUUGCUGCACUUGUAGAGGAAUUGUCCAGGAGCAGCAGCCAGAGGAGAAAUUGGCAGACGUGGGCCUGAGGAGCCUGGACAUUCUUCUAAGGAGACAUGAACAGUCCUCAGCUUUCUGCCUCGUGCAUAACUGGCUGUGGUACCAAGGGAAAAGAAGUGACAAGUCAGAGUCUACUGCCCCCAUACGAUGGAAAGUGAGCGAGAGUGAUGGGACUGCGAGAAUUAUUGAUGCCUUGAAAAAGCCGUCCAAGUGGGAAUGGAAGAGUCAUCACUGUCAAUGAGAUAAGUGUCUGUUUUGGUGAUUGCUCUGCUCACGGCCCACCUUGCUCCUGAAAGGGAUGCCCCGUUUGCUGAGGCUGUGUUUGUAAGAAAAGGUUCCUGCCUAGCUGUGGUUUUGAGAGAGAGAGAAGAUUCCCAUUUUUAGGGGCUGCUCAGUUUUCUGGCCAGGAGCAGUGUGUCCUACGCAGCAGAAGGUUGCAUCUAGGAGAAUGAGUCCAAGUGGUGAAUUGCUUGCCUUUCCCUCGUGUGUUUCUCUCUCUCUCUCUCUCUCUCUCCUCUAGUGUGUUGGCCAACACUCUUUCUCAAUCUGUCCUUGCUUUUCCUUGUGCUGUCUCCCUUCUUAGGAUAUCGGCAGGCGAGCUAGGUGUGCACCCCCACAGGUUGUGUCUUGGGAGCCAUAAAGAAGUAGGAGGGGAUGAAAAUCAUGCGGGGCAGUCGGUGCGAGACUGGAGCGAUGACUGUUGGUGUUGUGGGGCUAAGACAGAUCGAAAGCGACGCAGGGAAGAGGGGCUUAAUUGGGCUCUAUGUAGUGCAGAAGUUCUCAAACUGGGGUUUAGGUCCCGUCAGGGGGCCGCAAGGUUGUUAUUUGGGGGGUUGUGAAAUGUCAUCCUCCAUACUAAACAUCACUUUGCUUCCAGCAUUUAUAAUGGUGUUGAAUAUACAAAAAGUGUGUUUAAUUUAUAAGAGGAGGGUCACACUCAGAAGCUUUCUAUGUAAAAGGGAUCAUCAGUACAAAAGGUUGAGAACCACUGGUGUAGUGAUAGUUCUUGCUUGCCUUUAUUAGUUUGCAGCGGAGUUGUGCAGGAGUCUCAGCUGGAGAAGAAGCUGUCAGAAGUGGACCUGAACUGCCUGGACAUCCUUCUAAGGAGACAUGAACAGUCCUCAGCUUUCUGCAUUCUGGAUAACUGGCUAUGAGUAAGAACAGUCACACAUCAGAGUCUACUGUCCUCAUGCGAUGGAAAGUGAGUGAGAGCAGCGAGCCUGUGAGCAUUGUUCAUGCCAGGCAACAGCCGUCAAUGUGGGGGUCGAGCAGACGCCACUGUCAGUGAGAUAAGUGUCUGUUUUGCUGAGGGUUCUGCUCACGGCCCAUAUCAGUUUCUUGCCUU